rnacentral:lncRNA from 1 species
UUCAGAUAUGCCUUAUUUUUCUGCGUGAUGAGUUAAUUCUACAGGACCUUGACUUUAAUUUCACAAUCGAACCCGAUUCCGUAGACUCGGUCCAGAUUAAUAGUAAAAGCGAAGCGACGAGCACAUCCCGGAGCACCAUUUCACCGAUCAAGACGCCAGUUGGAGGCUCCGGUAAGGACGGCACGGAUCCUGUGGCCCCCGGCCAGAACGGACUCGCAAAUUCUAACAAUUUAUCCCGAUCCCGAGCCUCAGCAAGAAUGACGAGACGAUCUCUUCCCGGAAAACAAUUCCACCGUUCGAGACAGCAGUUGGAGGUUUCGGCAAGUCCCAGAAGGCCGUUCUUUCGACCGCCAAAGGAACGGAUGCUGUGGCCUCUGGCCAGAGCGGAUUCGCGAAUUCUAACACCGGUCCGGUAGAAUCGAUCCCGAGCCUCCACGGAAGUUGCACGACGAACGCAAUUCUAUCGAUCGAUAGACCAGUUGAAGGUUCCAGCAAAACCCUGACCGGUUCGGUAGAAUCCAGUAGAAAUUCUUGAAUUCAUUCUUGAAAUUAUUGGAUCACUUCAGACCAAAUAUAGGGUUUUACCGAUUGUACUGAUUGGAAUAUUCCUAAGAAUUGUUUUUUUUUAAAUACAAACAAAAAAGCAAAAG